rnacentral:misc_RNA from 1 species
GUUUCCUUUAGUCUCCCUUUGGAGUCUCAGUGUCUCUCUAAUAGAUGGAAUUUUUGUGUGUUUGUUUUGAGAUGCAUGCUGUAGUCUGCUCUCUUGAUAUGAGUGGUGAAACUUUUUGGAGUAAGAUUGGCAGGCAGCUUAAACGGUGUAUACCGUUUUUAGUCAUUGUUGCCUAGCCCGUUCCCGGUUCUUCCGGCAAUAGCCAAGUUCUUGACUUUCUGUCCUUGAUGCAUCUACCCCGCUUUCUUCAUCUGGGCUUUAAGUGUGAGUAGGAAAGUGUGUUUCUUUCUGCAUGUUAGUUUCUCCAAUUUGCCUGGCUGCUACUUUCUCCUUUGAUGGCAACUGAUGUAUUGCUGGUGGAAGAGGCUAUGGUGGCUGUAGUUGAAUAUGGCAGAAGGUCCCUAAUGAAAAAGGGCUAUGGGUCAACCCGAUUCGUCUAGGGCUCCAAGUUUCCUUUGAUUUUGGGUCUUUUUCUGAGUUUGGGUUGAUUUGAUGUAAUUUUU